CCCACAUUUGGCUAGCACGGCCCCAGGGCAGGCUCCUGGUGGCCUCGAAGCUGGCAGGGAGGUUCCCUCCUCCGCGUGGAGGGCCAUGUCCUCCUUGGCAAAGCCUCAAGGCACAGUGUCCAACAGGCUCCUCUCUCCCCUUCCAGCACUGUGGAGACAGCACUGGAAGGCAAAACAGAGAGCAUCCUGAAUUCCUGCUUCAACAGUGUCUUCUUUUUGCCUCCGGAACUGGACGUACCAGAAGAGGAGCAAACUCUCUACACUAAGACCAUGAUUGCCAUGAACGUCAUGCUGCGAGCCUUGGUGCACAACUGCCCCAGCUCCAGAAUGAGGGAGGAGAUGUGCAGCAUCUUUCAGGCUCUGCUCCACUUCUUCCACUCCCAGCACAUGCACGUUCGUACGAGAGCCCUGUACGGGGUUUUACGGAUGAUCACGGACUUUAUAGAAAAAGACUGGUACUGCGCUGCAAAUUGCGGGUUUAUAUAUGAGUCACUCAUCGAGGUCUACUUCCCAAUCCUGGGACAGCUGCUGGGUCACCUCUGCCUUUUCAGUUGUGGCCAACAUGCCACCAGAGUUCCAGCUACAGAUGCUCUUUAUCGCCUCUAUGCAUUUGUCAAACGCGAUAGAAGAACAGCCCUGACAGAGGAGAUGGAAAAGUACGUGCAUCUCCGGGAGAAGCUGCAGGAUACUAAUUUUGCAUGCGAUAACUUGUGCAGUCCCAGUGAUUGUGCCAAGGCGUUUGGAGGAUACCUCAGGCCUGCUGAGAGGAUGGACGUCGUCCUCACAGCCCUUGAAGCGAUGGUUGACUCCAGCAUCUAUGACAAGGAGGUGGCCUGCAGUGUGAUGGCCGUGGCCAUGGAAGACCACGCCUUCUGGCUAUCAGAUAAAACGCAGAUCGUGACCUCCAUCCGCAAGAACUUGAGGAGCAUCACCGCAAAGGCAGCGCGGCACUGCCUGGACUCCCUGCUCCUCCUUCUGACCAGCCAGAUGCCCGCGGAGGAAGUCAGGGACCUGCUGAAGUCCUCUCCACCAAGCGACAGCAGUGCCCUGGAUAUGUGGGAGGUGAUGCUCUGCAUGCCGCGGACCUUGGAGAAGGUUUUGAAGGAGCUGACCAAGGGCUCACAGCUGAGCAGGCUGCUAGAAGGAGUCACAGAAGACACGUGCAUCCUCUUCUUGGCUCUAAUGGCAAAGAGUGAAGAUAACGAGGACUUUUUGGGUGACCUACGCCACCUCAAGACUUAUCUGAAGCAUCCAAGUGUGGAGAUGCGCACGGUGGUGCUCAGAGGGCUUGUCAUACUCUCCGAGACACGGGAGAAGGCAAGAAAAAUGGAGGUCGUGCUGCCAGAGAUCAUGGCCACCCUGCAGGCUGCCAGCGCAGACGUCAAGAUGAAGGCCCUGUUUGUCAUCCAAAACAUCAUGGGCCACGUGAAGAGGAAGGAGGCCAGCUCCAUCGCUGUGCAGCACGCUGAGGAGCUCCUGCCUCUCUUUGUCGAUGUAAGUGAGGCUGCUGUGGGAGGCAGAGCCCUCGCAGGGGCGCUCUGCAGUGCCAGCGCCUCUGGCCCGGCUGUGUGGGCAGCACUGGCACUCGCACUGGGCCCUCCACCCCCCUCGCUCCUCCUGGGGCUCCUUCCGGGCAGGGAAACAGCUGUGGGCCCUCGGAGAGCC
ensembl:lncRNA